GAUGAACGCUGGCGGCGUGCCUAAUACAUGCAAGUCGAGCGAACGGACGAGAAGCUUGCUUCUCUGAUGUUAGUGGCGGACGGGUGAGUAACACGUGGAUAACCUACCUAUAAGACUGGGAUAACUUCGGGAAACCGGAGCUAAUACCGGAUAAUAUUUUGAACCGCAUGGUUCAAAAGUGAAAGACGGUCUUGCUGUCACUUAUAGAUGGAUCCGCGCUGCAUUAGCUAGUUGGUAAGGUAACGGCUUACCAAGGCAACGAUGCAUAGCCGACCUGAGAGGGUGAUCGGCCACACUGGAACUGAGACACGGUCCAGACUCCUACGGGAGGCAGCAGUAGGGAAUCUUCCGCAAUGGGCGAAAGCCUGACGGAGCAACGCCGCGUGAGUGAUGAAGGUCUUCGGAUCGUAAAACUCUGUUAUUAGGGAAGAACAUAUGUGUAAGUAACUGUGCACAUCUUGACGGUACCUAAUCAGAAAGCCACGGCUAACUACGU
rnacentral:rRNA from 1 species